CAAAUGGGAGCCAUGAAAAGGCAAUCUGAGGUUACACUUCUCAACAUUAUUUAUCUAGGAGAAGGCAGCUGGCUCCUUGCUGUAUAUAUGGUUCAUCAGUUCUGCAGUACAAGCCAUGGGCAACGAAUGUAUCUUGCAGUCAUAGGUUUGGUUUGUCAACCAGCAGAGAAGGCAAUAUGUGAGAUCUCUGGUCAAGUAGCUAAAGUUAUAAGAGUGUAAGAGCCACAGACUCAGAAGCACUGGAAGACAAGCUGCCAAGUUGCGGAGACAGUGAAUGUAUCCAUAGGUCUUUGGAAGCUUAUUGUCAGAAAAGCAUCAGACCUCUCUCAGGCUGGAUAAUUAAUUGUAAUUGGAAUAAGAAAGAGGGCAAAAACCUGCCAAAACUUCUGACUUCAGCAAUGCCCUUGAGCUGGUUAAUCUUUUUCUCCUUGACUUCUGUAGACAAAGGGAACCAGAAUCUAAAUCCAUUGAGAAAGAAACACCAACGUUCAGCCAGCUCAGCUUUUCCUGUUUAUGUCCUUGUCACAGAGGUCACUGGUGAUAUCACUCCAAGUCUACAAGUGAAGGAGUUGAAGCUUUUCCUAGCUACCUGCUGCUGCAUUUGGUAUUAUAUUUACCUUACAUCAUAUCAAGUCUGGCACAUCAACUGAUAAUUUUUGUUUUGUUUUAUAUUUUAAGGAAAUCAGAUGCUUCUUCCCCCUGCUUCGAACACAUGCUGAAGGUGAAAGCACUGAAAUGGCUUUCUCAAGACUUGGGCACCCAGCCAGACCUUUCAGUGCCUCAACUCUCUACAGCUGUAUCAUGGGAAUGGAUUUGUCUUUUUAAAACAGCAGUGAUAAUAAUGACAAUGAGAAGCCAAUAGCCCCCAAAAUUCAAAAACAAGAUGAUAAUCUGGAAGCUGUAGUAGCUCAGUGCCUGAAAUACUGACUACCACAGCUUUGCAAUACCUGCUUUCUUCUUGCAUAGAUGGAGAUGAAUGCACUUCAUCAAGUGCUGUGUUUAUUUCUUCUGAUGUGAAAACUUCAAAUAUUUUAGUGACUUGGGAAGACACUGAGUCCUGGUAAAGGCAGUUGCAGUUUCAGAGUUCCCUCUGCAGUUUGGACACAAUAGAAAGAAAAAAAAAUUAGUGGGAUCUCAUGUAACCCCCCCCCAUAUUUAUCAAAACCAGGAGAUUUAAUCUCCUCAAAUGUGUGGUUUGUUGUCAAACAAUAAAGGCACAACGCAUAAGAUAA